UGAUCCUUCCAUCUCAGCCUUCCAAGUAGCUGGAACUACAGAUGUCUCCUGGUUCUACCAGAAGAAUUUCUCAAGUCCAGGACUAUACCAGAAUUAUGAAAAGAGUUGAGGAAGCUUCUCACCGUCUUUUAAAAUAGUUUAUGAAUCAAUCUAUAUACAUAGGGAUUACCUGUUCUAGGAAAAUGUAUUAGAAGGAUCCAAGGAAAUUAUUUGGACCUGAGAUGUGGGGUACAAGUAAGGAUUAACUGUACAAAUAGACUGCAUGCAGUGAAGUUUGGACCUCCAACUGGCCCUC